rnacentral:misc_RNA from 1 species
UAUCAAUUCAAUUUUCUUCGCUCUCUGCUUCUAUGCGACUCUCGCUCUCUCUCUGUUUGAUAUCUAAUCAAUCUAAAAAUUAGGGCACCAAAAUCUAGUAUCCUAGCUUUUCACCAUGAACAUUUUCAGAUUCCUGGGAGAUAUGACUCAUUUGAUCAGUAUUCUGAUUCUGCUUCUCAAAAUCUACGCCACCAAAUCUUGUUCAGGGAUUUCGCUGAAGACGCAGGAGCUUUACGCUCUGGUGUUUUUGGCUCGGUACCUGGAUCUGUUCACGGAAUUUAUCUCCGUGUACAACAGUAUAAUGAAGGUGGUGUUUAUAGUGAGCUCUCUUGCAAUUGUAUGGUGCAUGAGGAGGCACCGUGUUGUGAGACGCUCUUAUGACAAAGAACUCGAUACUUUUCGUCAUUACUUCCUUAUUGCUGCCAGUUUUGUCUUGGCUCUGUUGGUGCACGAGAAGUUCACAUUCACAGAGAUCUUCUGGGCAUUUUCAAUAUACUUGGAGGCAGUAGCCAUUCUUCCCCAGUUAGUGUUACUCCAACGAAGUGGGAAUGUGGAUAAUUUGACAGGGCAAUAUGUUUUCUUUCUUGGGGCUUAUCGUGCUUUCUACAUCCUCAACUGGAUUUACCGCUAUUUUGCAGAGACACAUUUUAGUAGAUGGAUAUCUUGCGUCUCUGGUCUCGUCCAGACAGCACUCUAUGCUGAUUUCUUUUACUACUACUUUAUUAGCUGGAAAAACAAUGCAAAGCUUCAGCUGCCAGCUUGAGCCAGACAUCAGUAUGUUGAAGUAUCAAACUUCAUGAACAAUCACUGCUAAAGUAUUAAGUUUUAGUCAAGUUGGCUGGUAUACCCAUUUGUGCCAGUUCAUAUUGUAUGGGUUUAAGAGGGUAAAGUUACAAUAGUUUAUGCCAAAUGUUGAUUAGGCUGGUGGGUUUGUUGGAAUUGCCCAUCUUAUAGGGACUAUUAGAUUAGAUCAAACACCCAUGUUGAUGUAAGGUGCUAAUUUUUAAUAGUAACAGCACCCUUCUGUUAACUUUUAAUUUGUCUCAUGAUGUUUAUUUGGGAGGGCAAAAUUCAGAUUUGAUUAACGUGAGGGUUGAAUUCAAUGAUGAUACAGUUAACUAAGUGGUAAGCAUUUGCAGA